AAAUUAGUAUGAAACAAGACCUCAUUGUCGCUGCUGAAUGAUGCUGGUUAGUACUACUGAGUCUACUAAGGCUAAGGUUUACUUUGAGAAGAUAUGACAGAAGAGGAGACAUGUGACACUUUUGGCAAAUGGUUUCGCUACUUCUUGUUCAGUGUCUGGGUCAUCGACAUGGUCCUGAUAUUUUUGGUUUAUCACUUAGAAACUAAUUUGAGAGUAAAAAUAAGAAACUGCCAAAACGAGGGAUGCCAAGAAGAAGACUAUGUCAACAACGAAGCAAGUGGCUUUACAUGCGAACAAGCCAGCUGAAGCAGUACUUGAACAAUUCAUGUCAAAUUGCUCUUAUAAGAACUGACACGUUGUAAUGGACUGUCUUAAUAUGUACUGUAUCUUACAAUAAUGUAUCUUAGUAUGUAGUCUGCAGUAGGCUUGACAAUGUGUUGCUCAGCUUUUCUGAUAAAAAUACAUUAUACUGUAAAAUAAUGCUUUGUUUUAAAGUUAUACUGAAAAGAUAAUAUGCUUGUCUAAUACCAUUACAAAAAAUUCUGAUAAGUUUCAGGUGGGUCAGAACAUUAUCCUCUUAAAUAACCCCUUAAAUAUGUGAGAAGACUCAAUAUGCUAUAUUUUUGUUGAAUUUGGAGACAUGAAGGAAAUUUUGUCAUUUUUAAAACAUUUAUUUUUCUUGCAGUCUGAACAUUUGUAUGCUUUCGAGUAGUAAAUGUCCAAAAUUUGUUAGUGUUGCAAUAACGGAAGCAUAUGGACAAGUGACUAGACAUCAGUCUUAAUAUAAAAAUAACCUUAACAUCCCACAACAUGAGUAACAAGCUGAAGUAAUAAAAAAAAAAACAAGUUUGCUUUGCCACUAACAGAGGAGUUUUAGUUUAGAGAGGAUUUCUAGCAAACAUCAGUUUUUUGUUUUGUUUUUGUUUUUGUUUGUUUUUUUCAUAAAGAGCAGUGGUUGUCAGUAUAUAAUGCAUACUUUUGUCUUUAAAUUCAAUAUUUAAUGCAACAUUUGUUUCAUUAGUUUCGUAUUUAAAGAGGAAAAAGAAAAGAUUCUUCACAUACUACUUUAAUACCAGCACAGGUGAACAAGCCAAAGUACACAGGGUCAAGCCUGCUGCAGCUGCUGCCAGGAGACACACACAUUCCAAAGGGCAACAACAUGCAUGACAAGAUGCUUCAGUUCACAUCCACACCAAAGUAAAUGUACAAGAAGACAGUGUAUAUUCACCAGACACAAAUGUUGUGUGGCAACCUUGAAUGUCUCUGUAAUCACUGUUGAAAGACCAAUGGUUUCAGAGGCUUGCAAUCAACACCAAGGUGGUUUCCAGAGCACUUCGACUAAACAUACAAGAUGUUUCUCACGAAUCAUUCAUCCUAGUGUAUCAUGCAAUGUCUGUGUUACAUUUUUAGUGAUCAUUAACAAUGCAAAUUGAUGCUUUUCAGGUAUUUUAUUAAAUAGUCAUAAAUUCGUUUUUUAUAAAUACUAUAUCUUUUUCUUUUUUUUUUUACUUAAAACAUACAACAAAAAAGUUACAACUUUUUAGUUAUCUUUUUGUCUUUACUUGCCCUUGAAACAUGUUAUUAUGAUUACUGUUGGCUCUUGUAUGAUAUACUGCUUUUGAUACUGUAAUCAAAUUGCUUCCUUGUUUCUAUUUUGCUUUGGAUUGCUAAAAUGUUAAAUAUAUGUAAAAAGGUAUCAA